rnacentral:lncRNA from 1 species
GGUAGUGAAGCACCACAGGAAAUAAUCUCCAGGGAUGGAGUGAACAAAUCUAAUCUAAACUGUCUGAAGGCACCGUUUCAUUGCAGUAUCAACCCUUCCUUUGCCAAAAUCUUCAGAACAGUUGGCUAUAUACCAUAACGCACUGAUGGUUUGGAGGAGGGGAGAGUAAUUAAGGAAGAGCGAGGUAAUUAAGGAAGAGCUGUGUCACAAGGCAAUGACACAUAAAGGUCAAAUAUUGAACUGCUGAACAUUCAGGGUUCCAGAAUCAUCUCAGACUACUUGGGUAAGUAAAGUUGCUCCGUAGGAUGAGGAAUCCAAAGUGCAGGGCCGGGGUGCCAGUCACUGAAAAGGACAGAAAGCAGUGGCACUGGC